UUUUUUUGUUGUUAAAUGCCAGAUUUCAGCUAACAUCUUGAUAAGAAUUACAAAGCCUGUCACCAAGAGCUCAAGAGAUUGGAUACUCCUGGAUAAACUGUAAGGUCACUUCUAAAUCAAUGAUCCUGUGAUUUUUCCUCCUUGCCACCGGAAAGGCCAAAGCUGUAGUCUUAAUAAUAAUAUGCGCAAUCUUCACCCCAUCUUUUCUCUAAGUAUGUGGGCAUGGGAAAGAAAAGCUAUGGACGCCUCUAGGGAUGCAGGUAAAGGUAUCAACAGCAGGAUGAACUACAGGAGUUCAGACAGCCUUUCAGGUUUGGGUGAUGAGGGAGGACUACAGGUAAGAAUGACACGGGGCAAAGAUGGAAAAGGAAAGAUGAUACAGUUGGAUGGGGAAGAGGAGAGCCAAAAGGUGGUGUGAGUGCGUUUAACAGUGUAGUAGGUUACUUCCAACCCAUGUGAAAAAGUUUAGCUGUGAUGCUCACAUAACUAAAUCUUAUGAAACUAAUUUCAGUAAAUGAGGUGUGAUUUUUAAAAAGAUUCCUUUUAAGAAGUAUAUUUC
rnacentral:lncRNA from 1 species